AUUUUAUGCUUGCAUAAAUGAUUUUUGGAUUCGGAGCGAGUGGCGAACUGGUGAGUAACACGUGGGUAACCUGCCCCGAAGCGGGGGAUAACAUUUGGAAACAAGUGCUAAUACCGCAUAAUUAGUUGGAACCGCAUGGUUCCAACUUGAAAGAUGGCUCUGCUAUCACUUUGGGAUGGACCCGCGCCGUAUUAGUUAGUUGGUGAGAUAAAAGCCCACCAAGACGAUGAUACGUAGCCGACCUGAGAGGGUAAUCGGCCACAUUGGGACUGAGACACGGCCCAGACUCCUACGGGAGGCAGCAGUAGGGAAUCUUCCACAAUGGACGAAAGUCUGAUGGAGCAACGCCGCGUGAGUGAUGAAGGUUUUCGGAUCGUAAAACUCUGUUGUUAAAGAAGAACAAGUGUUAGAGUAACUGUUAACACUUUGACGGUAUUUAACCAGAAAGCCACGGCUAACUACGUGCCAGCAGCCGCGGUAAUACGUAGGUGGCAAGCGUUGUCCGGAUUUAUUGGGCGUAAAGCGAGCGCAGGCGGUUUUGUAAGUCUGCUGUGAAAGCCCUCAGCUCAACUGAGGAAGUGCAGUGGAAACUACAAAACUUGAGUACAGAAGAGGAAAGUGGAACUCCAUGUGUAGCGGUGAAAUGCGUAGAUAUAUGGAAGAACACCAGUGGCGAAGGCGGCUUUCUGGUCUGUUACUGACGCUGAGGCUCGAAAGCAUGGGUAGCGAACAGGAUUAGAUACCCUGGUAGUCCAUGCCGUAAACGAUGAAUACUAGGUGUUGGAAGGGUUUCCGCCCUUCAGUGCCGCAGCUAACGCAUUAAGUAUUCCGCCUGGGGAGUACGACCGCAAGGUUGAAACUCAAAGGAAUUGACGGGGGCCCGCACAAGUGGUGGAGCAUGUGGUUUAAUUCGAUGCUACGCGAAGAACCUUACCAGCUCUUGACAUCUUCUGCCAACCCAAGAGAUUGGGCGUUCCCUUCGGGGACAGAAUGACAGGUGGUGCAUGGUUGUCGUCAGCUCGUGUCGUGAGAUGUUGGGUUAAGUCCCGCAACGAGCGCAACCCUUAUUAUUAGUUGCCAGCAUUUAGUUGGGCACUCUAGUGAGACUGCCGGUGAUAAACCGGAGGAAGGUGGGGACGACGUCAAAUCAUCAUGCCCCUUAUGAGCUGGGCUACACACGUGCUACAAUGGAUGGUACAACGAGUCGCGAAACCGCGAGGUCAAGCUAAUCUCUUAAAGCCAUUCUCAGUUCGGAUUGCAGGCUGCAACUCGCCUGCAUGAAGUUGGAAUCACUAGUAAUCGUGGAUCAGCAUGCCACGGUGAAUACGUUCCCGGGCCUUGUACACACCGCCCGUCACACCAUGAGAGUUUGUAACACCCAAAGACGAUG
rnacentral:rRNA from 1 species